rnacentral:rRNA from 1 species
CCUACGGGAGGCAGCAGUGGGGAAUUUUGCGCAAUGGGCGAAAGCCUGACGCAGCGACGCCGCGUGGGCGAGGAAGGCCUUCGGGUUGUAAAGCCCUUUUGGCAGGGAAGAGCAAGGACUGUACCUGCAGAACAAGUCACGGCUAACUACGUGCCAGCAGCCGCGGUAAUACGUAGGGGGCAAGCGUUACUCGGAAUUACUGGGCGUAAAGGGUGUGUAGGCGGCCGAGCAAGUCGAAGAUGAAAUCCCAGGGCUUAACCCUGGAAUUGUCUUCGAUACUGCUUGGCUUGAGGGUAGGAGAGGAGAGCGGAAUUCCCGGUGGAGGGGUAAAAUGCGUAGAUAUCGGGAGGAACACCAGAGGCGAAGGCGGCUCUCUAGG